rnacentral:rRNA from 1 species
CAGUAGCCACGGGAAUACGGAGGGUGCAAACGUUGCUCGGAAUUAUUGGGCGUAAAGGGCUCGCAGGCGGUUUCUUAAGUCUGAUGUGAAAGCCCCCGGCUCAACCGGGGAGGGUCAUUGGAAACUGGGAAACUUGAGUGCAGAAGAGGAGAGUGGAAUUCCACGUGUAGCGGUGAAAUGCGUAGAGAUGUGGAGGAACACCAGUGGCGAAGGCGACUCUCUGGUCUGUAACUGACGCUGAGGAGCGAAAGCGUGGGGAGCAAACAGGAUUAGAUACCCCCGUAGUCCCUGUCUCUUAUAC